GUUCACAUCAAAAACCACCAAUUGAAGGAUCAAAUCGAGUCCAAAACGAAAACCGAGCAUAUAUUCGUGAUCCCCAUUGAAAGGAGAUCAUAAGUUUGUCGCCUAACGAGCUAGGUGGAGGCUUGAAAAAGAAGCGGUCAAACGAAUCAAGCACGAGAAGAAAACGUAUUCGGAUGCGAGGUAAGUAGAGCUUACGCCCCUUUACAUUAUUUGCAAAGUUACUUAAUUUCAAGUAAUGAUAUGAAUGCUACUAAGUGGUUGGUAUAUGAUAUUCCGACGCGAUUCAAUGAGAGUUGGAAUGAGGGGAAAUGGUAAAUUAGUCAUGUAAUGACGAAUAAUUAAAAACGGUUUUAAGUAAAACAAGUUCAAAGAAAACCGGGAUAGGUAAAAGGGGUGAAAUGGUAAUUAAAUACCAUCUCAACACGGACAAAUGGUCAAUUAGACUAAAUGGGUCAAAUGGUGUGGAUAACACCAUUUGGCAAUAACAAUUGACAAUCGCUUGUUGAGUUUUGUGAUUUCAGGAAAUAACAUGUGUUGCGUUGCUUUAAUUAGAAAAUUUAAAGCAAGAAGUAUGUAAACGGGUCAAUACUAUGAUCCGAGCCAGGUGAAGAUGGGAUAAGCGGUUUGAAAGAUACGAAAGUUU
rnacentral:lncRNA from 1 species